rnacentral:rRNA from 1 species
AUUGAACGCUGGCGGCAGGCCUAACACAUGCAAGUCGAGCGAGCGGCGGACGGGUGAGUAAUGUAUGGGGACUGCCCGAUAGAGGGGGAUAACUACUGGAAACGGUAGCUAAUACCGCAUACAAUCAGAUAACACAUAUGGGAUUAUCUAGUUGGUGAGGGAAUGGCCAACCAAGGCGACGAUCCCUAGCUGGUCUGAGAGGAUGAUCAUCCACACUGGGACUGGUACACGGCCCUGACUCCUACGGAGGCAGCAGUGGGGAAUAUUGCACAAUGGGCGCAAGCCUGAUGCAGCCAGGCCGCGUGUAUGAAGAAGGCCCUAGGGUUGUAAAGUACUUUCAGUCGGGAGGCGUUACCGACAGAAGAAGCACCGGCUAACUCCGUGCCAGCAGCCGCGGUAAUUC